GUAACUUUGUUUUGCAUUGGUUUGAAUAUACCUUUCGGUAUAUUCGACGAAGAGGGAAUCAGGUGCAAAUCCUGAACAGACCCGCUACUGUAAGUCCUAUGCAACGUUUUGACAAUUCUAAAAGCCACUGUAUCCCUGCUGGGAUGUGGGAAGGCAGUUCAAAACGGGGACAAGUCAGGAGACCUGCCAGCGCAUAUAAUUUUUA
rnacentral:ncRNA from 1 species